GACUCACCUGAUGUGCCAUCGGGAGCUCUUGUGUUGCAGGGAAGAGGCUGGAUGAAAUGAGAGCCAAGGCAUGAAGAUUGUCCUCAUCUGACAAAGCUUGAGGAGUUCAUGGUGGCUGAGGAAGCACAUACCAGAAUCGCCUCCAGCCUGAUGGCAGUGACCAGCGAGCGACCCACUGCCAAUCCUGCAGGGUUGAACAGAGAAGCCUGGCAUAAGCUGGACCAGACUCUACCCUGGAGGUCUUCCAGCCAUCCCAGGAGACCUCAUGCCCAUUUGUCCUCCAUGCUGUGCUCUAGAACCCAAAAUGCCUUC